UACGUAGGGUGCGAGCGUUGUCCGGAAUUAUUGGGCGUAAAGAGCUCGUAGGCGGCUUGUCGCGUCGGAUGUGAAAGCCCGGGGCUUAACUCCGGGUCUGCAUUCGAUACUGGCAGGCUAGAGUUCGGUAGGGGAGAUCGGAAUUCCUGGUGUAGCGGUGAAAUGCGCAGAUAUCAGGAGGAACACCGGUGGCGAAGGCGGAUCUCUGGGCCGAUACUGACGCUGAGGAGCGAAAGCGUGGGGAGCGAACAGG
rnacentral:rRNA from 1 species